rnacentral:rRNA from 1 species
GAUCAUGGCUCAGAUUGAACGCUGGCGGCAUGCCUUACACAUGCAAGUCGAACGGCAGCACGGGUGCUUGCACCUGGUGGCGAGUGGCGAACGGGUGAGUAAUAUAUCGGAACGUACCUUAUCGUGGGGGAUAACGCAGCGAAAGCUGCGCUAAUACCGCAUACGCCCUGAGGGGGAAAGCGGGGGACCGUAAGGCCUCGCGCGAUCGGAGCGGCCGAUGUCAGAUUAGGUAGUUGGUGGGGUAAAGGCUCACCAAGCCGACGAUCUGUAGCUGGUCUGAGAGGACGACCAGCCACACUGGGACUGAGACACGGCCCAGACUCCUACGGGAGGCAGCAGUAAGGAAUAUUGGUCAAUGGACGAAAGUCUGAACCAGCCAUGCCGCGUGAAGGAUGACGGCCCUAUGGGUUGUAAACUUCUUUUGUACGGGAAUAAACCCUUCUACGUGUAGAAGGCUGAAUGUACCGUAAGAAUAAGGAUCGGCUAACUCCGUG